AACGCACCUUGCGCUCCAUGGUAUUCCGUGGAGCACGCCUGUUCGAGUGUCACGUCAACCCUCACCCUUGCGAUGUUAACUUGUCGCAUCGGUGGACUUGGACCGUGCCGUAGUUGGCUCGUCCUGAAAUGCAUUAGCUUUGCGCUUUUAGAGUGCUGGCGAAAGGUGUGAUAAUUAUCUGCGCCGACUGCCGUAUAGCCUCUUCUAAUGUGCUUGCUUCCAAUCGUCCCGACGGACAACUACAAUUUUAAAGCUUUGGCCUCGAAUCAGGUGGGACUACCCGCUGAACUUAA
rnacentral:misc_RNA from 1 species